rnacentral:lncRNA from 1 species
CGGCUUGAUUCGUAGAAAAUCCAGGGUUCCCAAUGCAAGAUCUGUUUUCCUUUUUCUUUUGUUUUUUCAGAUUUCUUGGAUAAAAUUUGGAAAUGCAUAGUAAACGAUAGAAAAGUCGUAAAAUAGUAAAUGCAGACUUUUUGCAACUCUUGUGAAAUUAUCUAUGCAUUAGAUCUAUAAUAUGGCAUGUUUUUGUUUGAAGUUUUAGCUGUAGAAAUAGAUUUAUGCAGCUAGGUUUUUAAUGCUAGUUGAGUUUGUCUUUUUUAUAACUGCUGCUGUGUAGAUCCAAUUGAAGUGAAACUUUUGUGGCAUGGUACUCAUGUGAUGAUUGAUGUCUAGUAAUAGUUUCAUGAUUUUGUAUUGCAGUAUAAAUGAGUUAUUGAUUUGACUUACUUAGGGCUUGAUAAAUGGUUUAUAAUUAAAAAUUAAAAUGUAAAAAUAGAAAAUGUUGUUCCACUAUUGUAACACCCCAGUGUUAUGGUUGCAUCAUUCACAUGCAUAACAUGAGCAUCAUCAUGUCCAUAAGCAUAUCAUGAUCAUCAUCUACCUUGAGUCAUGUCAUUUUGUGCCAAAGUGUGAUUUAACUUGCUUAAAUAUACUUCCUAUGCUUGUGUUUCCUUGUACC